rnacentral:lncRNA from 1 species
CGUGGCAGCCAUGGAGUGGCUUCUCCUUUUGGUGAUUUUGGCAGCUGGCAUUUAUGGAGGAUUACAGCUUUCCAAGCCCCUUCCCAAGCCUCUGAUGUGUUUUGACACUAAUGCUCACGGCCACCCUCUGCGGUACUCAACAAGAAUGAGCUUCGCACAUCCGAUAAGCUAGCAUUUUCAAGAACCUGUAUCCUUGCAGCAAUUAGAAGAAAAAAAAGAAGAAGAAGCAAUCAACUAGAGAAAGUGAUGAUGAUCACAACACCAGUGAAAAUCAGGCCAGGACAGUAUGCGGAAGUGGACAGAAAGGAUAAAAAUCUGCCACCAAGACAACGCGAAAGUACAGGUCCAGCGCAUC